CUCUUUUUGAUUAUAAUUUAAAGUAGGGCCUGCCCACUGAUUAUUUGAAGGGCCGCAGUAUUUUGACUGUGCAAAGGUAGCAUAAUCAUUAGUUUUUUAAUUGAAAGCUUGUAUGAAUGGUUUGAUGAAAAAAUUACUGUUUCAAUUUAAAUUUUAAGAAUUUUAUUUUUAAGUAAAAAAGCUUAAAUGAAGUUUAAAGACGAGAAGACCCUAUAGAGUUUAACUAAUUUUAAUUUUUUUAUUUAAGGAAUUAUUUUGUAAAGAUUUUAAUAAAGUUUUGUUGGGGUGACAAAAAAAUUUGAGUAACUUUUUUUAUAAAAUUAUACUAAUUAGUAAUUUUUUGAUCCAUAAGAAUGAUAAAAAGAUUAAAUUACCUUAGGGAUAACAGCGUAAUUUUUUUUAAUAGUUCUAAUUGAAAAAAAAGAUUGCGACCUCGAUGUUGGAUUAAAAUUAAUUUUUGGUGAAGAAGCUAAAAAAUUAGGUCUGUUCGACCUUUAAAAUUUUACAUGAUCUGAGUUUAAACCGGUGUAAGCCAGGUUGGUUUCUAUCUUAAAUUUAUAUAAUAUUUUAGUACGAAAGGAUCAAUUAUUAUAUUAAUAAUAAUAAUAAAGAAUUUUAUUUUGGCAGAGUAGUGCAAUGGAUUUAGAAUCUUUAAAUGUGAGUAAACACAAAUAAAAAUUGAUUUUCUUUUAGUUUUAUUAAAUUUUUUAAUUUUAGUUUUAGGGGUUUUGGUAGGUGUUGCUUUUUUAACAUUAUUAGAACGAAAGUUAUU
rnacentral:rRNA from 1 species